UACGUAGGGUGCGAGCGUUGUCCGGAAUUACUGGGCGUAAAGAGCUCGUAGGCGGUCUGUCGCGUCUGCUGUGAAAACGUCAGGGCUUAACCCUGAGCUUGCAGUGGGUACGGGCAGACUAGAGUGCGGUAGGGGAGACUGGAAUUCCUGGUGUAGCGGUGAAAUGCGCAGAUAUCAGGAGGAACACCGGUGGCGAAGGCGGCAUCCUGGACCGGUAUUGACGCGUGAGGCGCGAAAGCCAGGGGAGCAAACGGG
rnacentral:rRNA from 1 species